rnacentral:rRNA from 1 species
AGAGUUUGAUCCUGGCUCAGGAUGAACGCUGGCGGCGUGCUUAACACAUGCAAGUCGAGCGAAGCAGUUAAGUUGAUUUCUUCGGAUUGAUUCUUAACUGACUGAGCGGCGGACGGGUGAGUAACGCGUGGGUGACCUGCCCCAUACCGGGGGAUAACAGCUGGAAACGGCUGCUAAUACCGCAUAAGCGCACAGAGCUGCAUGGCUCGGUGUGAAAAACUCCGGUGGUAUGGGAUGGGCCCGCGUCUGAUUAGGCAGUUGGCGGGGUAACGGCCCACCAAACCGACGAUCAGUAGCCGGCCUGAGAGGGCGACCGGCCACAUUGGGACUGAGACACGGCCCAAACUCCUACGGGAGGCAGCAGUGGGGAAUAUUGCACAAUGGGGGAAACCCUGAUGCAGCGACGCCGCGUGAGCGAAGAAGUAUUUCGGUAUGUAAAGCUCUAUCAGCAGGGAAGAUAAUGACGGUACCUGGCUAAGAAGCCCCGGCUAACUACGUGCCAGCAGCCGCGGUAAUACGUAGGGGGCAAGCGUUAUCCGGAUUUACUGGGUGUAAAGGGAGCGUAGACGGCAAGGCAAGUCUGAUGUGAAAACCCAGGGCUUAACCCUGGGACUGCAUUGGAAACUGUCUGGCUCGAGUGCCGGAGAGGUAAGCGGAAUUCGUGGUGUAGCGGUGAAAUGCAUAGAUAUCACGAAGAACCCCGAUUGCGAAGGCAGCCUGCUAAGCCGCCACUGACGUUGAUGCUCGAAAGUGUGGGUAUCAAACAGGAUUAGAUACCCUGGUAGUCCACACGGUAAACGAUGGAUACUCGCUGUUGGCGAUACACUGUCAGCGGCUUAGCGAAAGCGUUAAGUAUCCCACCUGGGGAGUACGCCGGCAACGGUGAAACUCAAAGGAAUUGACGGGGGCCCGCACAAGCGGAGGAACAUGUGGUUUAAUUCGAUGAUACGCGAGGAACCUUACCCGGGCUUGAAUUGCAGACGAAUUACGAGGAAACUUGUAAGCCGCAAGGCGUCUGUGAAGGUGCUGCAUGGUUGUCGUCAGCUCGUGCCGUGAGGUGUCGGCUUAAGUGCCAUAACGAGCGCAACCCUUGUCGCCGGUUACUAUCAGGUGAAGCUGAGGACUCCGGCGAGACUGCCAUCGUAAGAUGUGAGGAAGGUGGGGAUGACGUCAAAUCAGCACGGCCCUUACGUCCGGGGCUACACACGUGUUACAAUGGGGGGUACAGAAGGCCGCUACCCGGCGACGGGAUGCCAAUCUCCAAAGCCCCUCUCAGUUCGGACUGGAGUCUGCAACCCGACUCCACGAAGCUGGAUUCGCUAGUAAUCGCGCAUCAGCCACGGCGCGGUGAAUACGUUCCCGGGCCUUGUACACACCGCCCGUCAAGCCAUGAAAGCCGGGGGUACCUGAAGUGCGUAACCGCGAGGAGCGCCCUAGGGUAAAACCGGUAAUUGGGGCUAAGUCGUAACAAGGUA